CAAAGCAACAAGAAGAGCAAAUUAGAAGGCCAUACACGGCCAUGACCCAAGAAAAUUCACCCCUUAAAAUCUUCUCCCAAAAAUUAUUUUCUUGUGGUAUUCCUACUAAUUCAAGGGUCCUUUACAACUUGGUGUAAUUAUUUUGGAAGAAAGAACACUUGUUUCUUCAAGUUGACAACUUGGUCAAGUGAAGAAGAUUGUAGAAAAAGAUUUUGGCGAACUUGAAACUUGAUUUUGGAGACGUGUAUGAAUCGGAAAAGGUCAGCAGACAGGUGGACUUGAUCCUUAGGAGCUCUACCAGCGGUACUCUACAGUGCUCCAGUUGUUCCGGAGCCUCACUUCCGCGGUACUAUUUUGUGUAUGUAUAUUCGGGCACGGCAGUACCCGGCCCUUUCUAUGUAUAAGUGUACUAUGUCUAGAGGCUCGUAGACAGAUACGUACAGUCAGUCAGGUACAGAUAUAUGUAUAGUGUUUUGGCAUGUUAAUAUUGUUGUACAAGGUAAUAACGGAGUUUAUUAGUUUAUGUUCAAGGAAAAAAUGGCUC